GGGAGAGAACAUCGCUGCGGUUCCCCGCGAGGGGAUUAAACGGGAAUGUGGGACGAGGGGCGACCUUCAGUCCGCGGCUGUCCCUGCAACUGUAGGCGGCGAGCAAGGAUUCUGGGUAGGCGCCGAUGUGCGAUCUGCCGACCACUGGGUGCAAGCCUGGGAAGGUGCAUCCGAAGCGACGACCCGCGAGCCAGGAGACCUGCCGGAGCGGUUCGCUGAUG
rnacentral:ncRNA from 1 species